GUCGACGUACUUCAUAGGAUCAUUUCUAUAGGUCACGUCUCUCUUUGACUCUUCAAAAGAGCCACUGAAUCCAACUUGGUUGAUGAGUGAGAUACCCUUAUACCCUCAAAGUGAGAACGAUUUAGCUUGUCUGUGAUCCUCUGUGGUCCGGUCAUCUAUUCAUUUUUGCCUUUAUUAUGGAUGAAUUUCCUCCUCGUGAGGAUUUUCGUCUUCAAAGGAGCGAUGAUCUUGACCCUUUACUUCAUACUCUUUCGGGAGGCUUCGUAUUGGGUGGGUAUAAGUGGCUGUCUGACAAGU
rnacentral:snoRNA from 1 species